rfam:Helianthus annuus linkage group 7, whole genome shotgun sequence.
UGCCUGUGAUGAUAACAUUGAAGGCUUGUUUCUCAGAGACAUUCGCAGUGGCCGCCUAAGAUCUUUCGCCUUUCGCCGGGCUUGAGAGAUUGUGCUGUUUUAUCCUUCCUUGGAUGUCUGAGGCA